UUUCUGAUUUCCUCAACUUUCUCUCUCCAACUUUCUCUCUCUUACUUUUCCAAUUCUUCUACCAUGCUACUUUUUCAAAUCUGGCUUCAAUUACUUUGAUUUUCAGCGAUUUCUCAGCUCUACAAUCUAUUAUCAAUAGUAUAUUGGCAUUUGUCAAUACUAUAGAAUGGUUUUGUAAAAGGAUUGAAAACGAAAAGUAUCACUAAGAAAAAGAAACCUUCUAUUGUUGAGAAUACAAAUGAAACAAUGGAUGGGAAUGCAAAGGAUGCUCAACCUGCUAUAGCUUUGUCUGCUAUCAUGGAAGGAAAUAAGGGGAAUGAGGCUUCUUCUUCACAUGCUAUUGUUUUGUCAGCUAUGAAGAGAAAAUUGGAUGAAAAUGAAGGCCGUAAAGUGAAAAAAGUGAAGACAAACAAGGAUAAGAACAUUGUAAUUCAUAGGCAAGAGUCUGCAAUCAUAGAUGGUGAUAUAGAUGGUGAUGUACAUAUGUAAUGUAAAAAUAGUCUUUAAAAACAUAUGAAGUUAUGUUUUUAUUAAUAACAUUGUUAUAUAGUAUAUUUAAAUAUAAUACUAGUGACA